UCCUCCAGGAUGAACGGAAUAAUAAUCCUAAUCAAAGAGCUACAGCUCUAUGAAUCAAAAUAUUGACAGAUUUGAUCCAAUUACUUGAUCAACGAACCAAGUUACCCUGGGGAUAACAGCGCAAUCCAUUUCAAGAGCCCCUAUCGACAAAUGGGUUUACGACCUCGAUGUUGGAUCGGGGUGUCCCAGUGGCGCAACCGCUACUAAAGGUUCGUUUGUUCAACGAUUA
rnacentral:rRNA from 1 species